AGAGAGAGGCAGAGACACAGGCAGAGGGAGAAGCAGGCUCCAUGCAGAGAGCUUGAUGUGGGACUCGAUCCAGGGUCUCCAGGAUCACGCCCUGGGCUGCAGGCAGCUCUAAACCACUGCGCCACCGGGGCUGCUGAGAAUUGUUACCAUGAAUGGGUGCUGUCAGGAAUUUGUUCUGUCCCCGGGAGUGUCCUAGUACUUGGAGAAAGUGCUGGCCUAUAGUGGGCCAGUCAUGACUGCCUUUGGAAGACACAGGUGCAGAGUGUGGAAAAGUGUCUAGCAGAGGGAGAUUCACCACAGUAAGAGAUCUUGGGUAGGUGAGAGGGGUGGGGGCCCAGUGGACAAGGCAGGAUAACGCUCCAUCUACAGAAAAGAGAGGAGGGCAUGCUAAGGGCCACCGGUGCCAGGACAUGGCUAGCUGUGGGGGGGAAGCAAGUAGAAGUUCUCUUCUUAGAUGGCUGAAGUUCCAAGACCUCGGAGUGGAAGGCAGGAUCCCAGACGGAGAAGAAAGGUUCUGGAACAGAGAGGAUGGGGAUAGGGCCUAGGAGGCUAAUUGGCCACCCCAAGCAACAGAGGGCUGAAACUGGACUCAGGGCUUUGUGUCCUUUCAGUUUUUCUCCCUGUGAGUCUAGAAAGGGUAGGACAGGCCCAAGAAGCAGGUGGCAAGAGACCUCUCUGCCCUUGCCCAUGCCUAGGGCCCCAGGGAUGUCUCUGAAGGGCUCUCUAAAGUCUCACCGGCUGGAAACUCACCGUGGGAGGCCCUGGUGCCACUGCAGUCUCCUGUGGGGCCUGGAGCUAGAGACCCCUCCCUUGGUGCCUGUUCUGCUCUGUCACCCCCAGCAUCCCCACGCUCUGCAGAAACUCCUACUCGGACCACAUGGAUUAAUUUCUCUCUCAAUCCACAGUUAAAUGAAUGAGCAAAUGAAUGAACGAAUGAUCGACAGCUGCCUUCAUCUGCACAAGUGGCAAACCCGCUGCCAUCACCCCCCUGGGGCAUCAAACAAUAUUUAUGGCCAGGUCUGCGGACAGCCUGAUGCGCCCACCCUCCACAUCCACACACGCACAAAACUCAGCCAUGGGCAAGGGGCAGGGCUCCAGGGCUAUGGGGCCGUGAGCGGAUAGAAGUUCCAUCUCUGUCUAAAAAAUGGAUCAAGGGGAGGAACCCCCACCCUGAGAUCUUUAGCAAUACCUUGACCUAAAUCUUUCCCCUGAGUGAGCCUCCCAACACACAGUAGGUGCUCAAACAAUGAUCUUAUUCCAGUCUCGUGGGGCCUAACAAUGGGGGAGACUGGGCCAGCCCCAUAUUCUGUGGUUGAGGUUACAAGGGAUGGACAACAGGUCACUCAGUGUGGGCGUCUGCUCUGGGAGUCCCUCGCCCUCUUUGGGUCUCCAUUUCUCCACCUGCAAAAUGGACAGAACUCUAGGAACCUUCCAUCAUCUAGAAUUCUGAAAUAGUUUUAAUAUGUGGCACACACAUUCAUAGUUUAAGUGGGGUAGACUUUGCCCCAUUUCUCAGAGUAAGGGGCUGAAGCUCAGAGAGGUGAAGCUGCUUGCCUCGAGACACACAGGGGGAUGGGCGCAUGUGAAUUCAGGCUAACCUGGCUCAUGCCCAGCCCAGCAUUUCCCAGAUCCUUGGCCCAGGGCAUCUCCGCCCCCUCAGGGGAACCCGGGAGGGCCUGUGCCACUCCUAAAGGACUUCAUGCCUUUGGAGAGAAACUGAGGCCCACUCAUAGGACUUCUCAGUCGGGCUCAGAUGCUGUUUGGCCGUGCACCACGUCCGUGGCCCAUCUCUCAAGCCCUCCUCCCACCGCCUGGCCAGGACAUUUUGAGAAUUAAAUGAGAUAAUGUUCGGGAAAGCACUGAGCACAGCGCCUGGCACCAGAAGACACUGGGUAAACAGUCAUUUUCAUUAUUAUUUUUGGGUGCCAAGUCUCAGUGAAACGUCAUGCCACUUCCUGAGAAAUAAAGGCACCCAGUAACACCAUGGGCUGCUGCUUCCACCACCACGCAGGCGUUUUGCUAAAGCCCCUCCAGAUAUCCUGAGGGCCACCAGAAACCAAGGGAGGGGGCCGAGGACACCCAGGCUCUCCAGGCCACGAGGCAUCGGGCCAGGACAUUGCAGCGGUUCGUCCAUGCCCUGGCCAUCUCCACAGGGACACCGGCUAGUGGCCUGCCAUGGCGGGUAGGGAGGGAGAGUGGCAGGACUAAAAUGCAGUCCCCUCUCUCUCCGGGGACUUCAAGCUCUCAGGGAAAACCGGACCCCUGAGAAGCCCUCCCCUGGGGCUCGGCUGCAGCCUGGGCUGUCAGAGCCACAAUGGGCUGCCCCACAGCCUCUCCCAGCCUCAAUUCUGGCAUCUGUGAAAUGAGGCAGCUGCUUUCCAUCCCUGGGGUUAGCUGUGAGGAGCCCCUGGGCUGAGAAAGGGCUCCCCAUGUGGCAGGAGCACUCCCCCUGACUCCCAGAGCCCUCAACCUGGGGGCAGAAUGAAGGUCAGGAAUAUAACCUCUUGGCAGGAGCUGGGAGCAGCAGGAAAACCUACAAGAAGGUGUUCUGACGUGGAAAGCUGCUCCACCUAACUCCAGAACAAGCAAAAGAUAAACGGAGCAUCUGAAGUGGAAGCCCCGCUCCUCACGUCCAAGACUGGCAGGGUCUGGGUGAUAGGUGACACUGGUGGCCGUGGGCACGGGGGGGGGGGGGUGGGCAGGCGCACCUAACUCUGCUGAGAGGUGGGCACAAUGGGAUGACCGGUGGAGGGCCCAGCACCAACUGUUCUCAAAGUCACGGAGACACGGGCCCUCUCUGGAACUUUGUGCUUGGACAACCCAGGCAUAAGGACCUGGGUAUUUGGUUGGGUGGAGACAGAACGUGCAUCAGAAUGAAGCAGGCUAACUGAAGGGAAAAUCAGCCUCAUGUGGGAAAUGCCAGUUAGAUUUCCAAACCAUUUCACUGAUUGAUAUACUAACAAAGGGUGUCAUCUUCCAUGCCCACCCCAUCUUCAGGCUGCGUGUCUCCCCUCAUUGUUCCCAACAGCCUGAUGGGAGGGAGGACCAUGAAUAUCCCCAUUUUGCAGAUGGACAAACUGAGACACAGAAUGGUCGAAUAAAAUUCAUCCAUGGACACACGGCUGGGAUGUAGCAGAGACAAAGCAUGUAACCCCAAUGCUCUCUGUCUCCAAAGUACACUGCUAAAAGAGAGUAUUUUUCUUAAAGAAAAAAUAAAAUGUUAAGAUACAGGACAGCAAACCCCGGUUGACGGUGUGCAGCGGGUCAAACAAAUGACAGCCCCCAUCAAAAACGUGUCCACUUAGAACCUGUGAAUGUGACCUUCUUUAGAUAAUUUUUGCAAAUAUAAUUAAAUUACGGAUCCAGAAAUGAGAUCAUUCUAGAUUAGGAUGGGCCCUAAAUCCAAUGACAAGUGUCUCUAGAAAAGAAGACAUGACAAGACCAGACACAGGCAGAGAUUGGAGGGAUGUGUCGAUAAGGCAAAGAACACCGAGGUUUGCCAGCAGCUCCAGAAGCCGGGAGAGACAUGGAACAUUUCUCCCUCAGAGGCUCCAGAAGGAAGCAACUCGGCCGACAUCUUGAUAUCAGACUUCUGGCCUCCAAAAUUGGGAUAUGAUAAAUCGGUGUCAUUUUAAGCUGCUCUGCUUUGUGGUAAUUUGUUAUGGCAGCUAUGGGAAACUAAUACUGGGUGCAAUUUGCUCCCCACUGUCCCUGCGUCCAUUUUCUUUUCUGGACGUGGCUGACUGUCCCCCCGGGCUGCUGCCCCUGUGCUCCUUCCACAGCUCCAGUGUGAUUCCAAGUGUACAGAUUCAGUCAACCCAUUUUCCCUACUGUUCCCAUUUCACAGAUAAGGAAACUGAGACCACCAGCUUGGGUCAUAGUUCCAGAGGACCCUUGGAGCCCACUGGGCCACAGCUAGUCCUGUGACCACCGGGAAGGCAGCCGGGUCAGGACAGGGCCCAAAGCCUGGUCACUUGGCCCUGGAGCUUCAGGGCUCAGACACUCUGCUCCAGGACAAGGGCCAGGCCCCAUGGGUACCUGUGAGGCUGUGGCUGGCAGGGCCAGCAGAGGAAAGGAAGAGGGCUGCCAGGGUGUCCUCAUCACACAGCCCCUAGGGAGGGGUGAGACCACUCUGCAGCUUCCCCAUGGACUGCUGGGGCACCCCCUCCAGUGGUCCUGAAGGCUCCCAGGGCCCAACAGGGGGCCUGGCCGCCCCAGGCAGGCAGGUGCUGCCGACAGCUUGAAGCUCAGCAGGCCAAGAAAAUGGGCAUAGCUGAGCCUCCGGCCCGAAUGGCAAAGGGCGGGGGAGCAGAGAAAGAGAGGGCUGCCCUGCCCUGCCCUGCCGUGACCGCAGUGCCGAAGCCAAGAGGGGAUGAAGAAGUGGAGGCCUAGAUGCAGGCACAGUAUUCCUGUCCAUUCUGUGAAUGAGGAAACUGAGUCUUGGGGUGGAAGAGCAGCAAGGGUGAUCCACACUUCUCUCAGACUCAGACUAGCAGAUCCUCUCCAGCAGGGGCCCUCAGGAACAAGGCGGCCACUCUCCUUCAGAUUCGGCUCAAACCAGGUGACAGGAAGGACAGGGCUGGCCCAGCAGGUGGGGGACCCUGAGAUGGACAAGCUCAGAGAUGACUUGGCGGGGCGGGGCAGGGUGGGGGUACCAGUUUCCAGAACAGAGGCCCUUCCCCUCAACCCCAAACCCCAUAGUACUGUGAAGAAGCCAGUGAUGGCAGGGAACACCUUCCCCGUGAUGCUCAGGCUGUGCUGAGUGAGAGCUGGGUUGAUGCAGAGGGGGUGGGAUCCGGCCCUGGGGCUGCACCAUUGGGAAGACUGCAAAAUGCAGAUCCCAGGCUCUGCCCCAGAUCCUCCAAACCAGAAUUUCUGGGGAUGGAGCCAGGAGAUCUGGAUUCUCCCAAUGCUCCCAGAGAGUUCUGAGGAAGGAGGUACCCCAUUGAGGAUUCGGCACCUCUUCCAGGGCUCAAAUGUGCCAAUUCUGCAAUUCUAGGUUCUCUGUCUCAAAGAGGCUACAACUUCACAACUCAAAGAAUCCAUGACCUGUGCACUUGGGUGGCUCUGUACAUUCAAAGACUCCACAGCUAAGAUCUGGAGACUCUGUGACUCAGCCCUCAACCCAGUGCCCAUCAAAGGAGAGAGGACGACAUCCCUGGGUCUGGAGCACCAGGGCACCAGCAGGGACAGGAGGCGUGUUUAUAUAACUACAUUCCCGAGUUUGCGUAAGCACUCAGACAAUCCAGAAAGUUCUCUAAUAAUGGUCACAUCAAGAACAUAAAGCUUUGGGGCGGGAUGAGGUGGAGACAGGGUUUGAGGAGGAGCAGCUCACUUUCCACCCUUACGCUGGUUUCAUACUUUACCACGAGCAUAUAACACUCAGGUAGUUAAAAACUAGAAUUGAGUAAUGCAAAAAUAUGACGCAGUCGAUGCUGACUUCCGUGUUCGUUCACUUAUUCUUUUCAUCCCCUUCCACCCCCCAGACGUCGGCCACCAGCACAGGUACAGGGCACAGCGCCCGACUCGGGAGCCAGAGGUGGCAAGCAUGAAUGGCACCCACACUCCGACUGGCCGGAGCCUGUGCGCUACCAUCCUGCCCGGCUCCGAGACCUGUCGGAGAGGUGCAGGCAGAAGAGAUGCCAGCAGCUGGUCCAAAGGUGUCAUGUUGAGGGGGUUCCCAGGCCCUGUCCGUGCCCUGCCUCCACAAGGCCACAGCCAAGGCCUCUGCGAAGCCCUGCACCCUGGGCACCCCCAACGGCACAUUCGCCUCUGGCUGUAACGUGACCCAGGUGACCCGGACGGCCCCGUGCUCUCCGGGCCUCGCCGAGUACUAGUCCCGGGAAGGGACAGGGCCAGGUCCCCUCAGGCCUCUCCGGUCCUCCUCAGGCCCCCCACGGGCCUGGUCUUGGCCUGGAACCAAGAGACCAGAGGCGCAGGGUCGGGGGCAGGAGGGAGGCGGCCGCUACCACCCAGAACGGCAGCUGCUGGCAGUGAUUUAUUUUUGCUUUAAGUGCCGGAGAAUUGCAGGGCUGGAGCAGCCAGCUCAGGGGGCUCAGGCUGCAGCUGGGAGGAGAGGGAGGUGGGCAGGAGGUGCGGGCUGCCCAGCCCCUCCCUGA
rnacentral:lncRNA from 1 species